GGCCAGCGAGGUGAGGGAGGAUGUAGGCGGGGUCAGUGAGGUGAGGGAGGACACCUCUGAUAGCAGCUCUUUUUUUUUCUUGUUUGGAGGAGGACUGAAGUGCUGGCAGCCUCAGUGUGAUGUUUACACGGAACAAAUAAUUAAUAAUAUAUUAAUUUUCUUCAGGUUAAUUUUGAAAUCAGACUCCCCAUCCUUGAGACUGUAGACAGCACCAGGUGCAAAGACGACACACUUCCUGGUGUGGUUGAACCUUCCUCCUGUCCUCGAUGGAUCUGCGGGUGUUGUUGGUGUUUGGGGUGUGUGGGCUUCUCGCCUUUAGCCUGGGUGAGACGGUACUCCUCCCUGGACCAGGACAUGAGUCUGUUCUGCCAUGUUGGUAAAUAGAGCAGAAUGAAACAAGGGCUGUCUGACACCCAGCCAAGCAGAAUUCAACACAACAUACAGAAUUCAACACAGCAGGCAGAACUCAAAACAACAGACAGAAUGAAACAUGGUCUGUUUGAAAUUCCUGGAGUGUUUUCUUCCCCCAUAUGUAUUUGACCCUACUGCAGAACUUAACUGGGAUUUCUGCGUACACACCAGCUGUAAACGCAGGCCGUGGUCUGGAAAUGGCCCUUCUCCCUCCGUUCUGUUCAGAUGCAGCAUCUGUGGAUGUCAAUGACUGCAGGAAGUGUUCAGCUGUGUCCUUUGGACUGUGUGUCAUGUUGGACAGCAGUGCGGCUGGUGAACAAGCAAAAACUAUACGUUUCCACACUGUGAAGAGGUCAAGGCUCUGAUUGACAAGAGCUGUCCCAACAUCAGCAUUGAAAACCCUCGUGGGAGCAUCUCAGUAGACCAGAACAAAGCCGUCACCAACCGUAAGAAAGACAAAAGGCGAGAAACUGAAGCUGAGUGAAAUCACUCAAAUUCAGCCUCAGAAACUCACGCUGUACCUGAGAGCAGGUGAACUGCAGCAGUUUUCUCUGAAGUUCAAACGUGCUGAGGGCUACCCCAUGGACCUGUACUAGCUGAUGGACCUCAAUAACUCUAUGAAACAGGACCAACAUAAUGUGAAAAACCUUGGGACUUAUCUGGCUUAAAAGAUGGAGGGCCUCACCUCAGACCUAUAGCUCGGAUUUGGAUCAUUCCUGGAGAAGCUGGCCAUGCCGUUCGUCAAGACCACGCCAAAGAACCUGGAGAACUCCUGUGCUCCACUCCACUGCACACGGCCCUUCAGCUACAAGAACAUCCUGAACCUGACCAGCAACGGCCAGGAGUUCACUGAUGUGGUCAGCUGCUAGGAAACAUCCGGAAACCUGGACUCACCUGAGGGAGGAUUUGACACCAUCAUGCAGGCUGUGGUCUGCAAGGACUGUGCUGAAUGUCAUUUGCACGAGUCUUCAUGUGUGACCAAAUGCAAGAACGUAAGUCUCAGAGGUGUCGAAGAAUGAGUACCUUUCCCAGCCGAACAGCAAGCGCCCUACCGCACACACUGCAAAGAGUGCCAUGCCAAUGACUGCUGGAUCUUCUUCACCUACGAGGAAGGCAAACACUCAGACUCAGCUCACAGUGGAAAGACACCUGAGUGCUAUACAAAUCCUAACAUCAUUCCUAUUGCGGCUGGUGUGAUUGGAGGCAUUGUUCUGAUUGGUCUGGCCCGGCUUCUCAUCUGGAAACUGCUCAUGAUUAUUCAUGACCACAGAGAUUUCACAGAGUUUGAGAAAGAGAAGAUGAAUGCCAAGUGGGACACAGCACUGAAUCCGAUAUAUAAGUGCAAUGACAACAGCCAUCAACCCCAAAUAUGAGGUCAAGUGACAGCAAGGUGUUCUGUGUGUUCAGAUUCUUGUGUAUUUUCAUAUAGAUUUUUUAUACAUGAUGAAAUGUGGCAAUGUUAGGU